rnacentral:lncRNA from 1 species
UAACAACAAUUCAUUGAAGUCAAUUAUCUAUUAGACGGUAAAAACAUGAUGUGUGAUGACUCCAGAAGAAGCAAAAAUUGUACCAAAUAUGUGAGUUAGUGAGCCAAAGGAGAGACAUGAUGCUGGAUUACUGGCAGCAGCUGCUAGUAAGUCCUUUCUCAGUAGGGAGCCCUGAAGUGAUGUCAUAAUCACUCUUUGUCGGGUCUUGGUGGCCUGAGGAUUAAUACUGGGGAAGCUGGAGACUUAUUACCACAUGACCUACACUCCCAGCAGGUGGUAUAAGGAGAGAGAAGAGUGAGAAGAUCUCUAUGAACUGAUGCAGAGCAGAGUGAACCAAACCUGAAGAAGAAUUUAUACAAAGAUAAUGUUAUGAAGAAAAAUGACUUUGAAAGACUUUAGAACUUGGGACCAUCAAUGAUAAACUAUGAGUCCAAAGGAAUGAAGAUAAAUUAUGCUACUUACUGCCUGUCAGGAAUGGUUCUCUGUGAGACCUAUAAGAAGAAAUUUAGUUGAUGCAAAAAUCAAUCCAAUCAAGCUCUUAUCCAAGGAGAUUGAAGAGAACUGAGGAAAGCAAGGAAGGGGAAGAGAGCCAGAAAAAGAUGAAGAGAAAAAAAUUAAUUAAAGUUGAUCAAUAUGUUGAAAAAAGUCUAUGUAUUCUAUAUUUCUAUCUAUACAAUAUACUAGCAAAUAUAUAUGUAAACUGGUCUUUGAACUGAGUCAUGAAAGACAAUAGAAAUUCCAAGAAGGAAGAUAAAAAGACAGUGCAUUCCAGUCGUGAAGUACAACUUGUACAACGGCAUAAGAUAAAUGGGAGAAGGCAUGGAUCAUGGUGAGAAACAUCAAGUCGGCCAAUCUGAUUGGGUUACAGAGUAAGCGAAAAGGAUUGAUGUUAAAGUAAGAUUGGAAAGGUAAGUCAGAGCAGAUUUUUACUAACUACAUGACUGUGAAAGAG